UGAUGAUGUAUUGGAUGCCAUGUGUGGAAGAGCUGACGUAGAGAAACAGUUCAGCAUCCAAAUCUCCAGAACAAACAUUCUGGAGAGAGGCCUAGUGCAGUGGCAGCGUCAAAAAAAAAUUCACCCACUGCUGCUCUGAAAGUGACAUUCUUUCGGGAGGCAGGAGUGGACACAGGUGCUCUCCGGAAAUAAUUUCUCACAGAAAUGAUGAUAGGAAUUGAGACCCGUUUCUUUGAGGGGCCAAAGCACCAGAGGAGCCCACGAUACUCUCUGACUGACUUUGACAGCGGCCUGUACAAUGCCAUUGUACUCCAUGCAGUGCUGAGGCUGCAGCCUAUGUUGGAACUGAGACAAGGCCUGCAGCUCUAUGACCUUCUUUCCCUAAUCAGGCAGUACCUAGAUAUCUGCAAGCCCGUUUGUUGCUGUUGAAGAUGUAAAUGUCGGUUAUUGCAGUUUAUCAUGGCAUCCAUUCUUCCUCAAUUGAGUGACAAAUGGACUUCCAGACAUCAGAUGGUGCUGGAGAUGAUCAACUUUAUUCAGGACUUUCUUUAUGAAGCUGAAGGUAGAUAGUUCUUUAUGUCUUGCAGAUCAAAUUUUUGAAAACUCAGUAAAAUGUGAAUGUUUAUUUUGUAACAUUUGGGGCUUUGAAAGUAUUCCGUCCCAGUUAUAAUUAUGCUGUUUUUGAGCAUGUUAUUUUCUACCUGAAAAAUGUUUAAGAAUGGUAAUCAUUAUUAUGGACCAGAGUGGUUUGUAUUUUAAGACAGUUGUCAGUUUUUUGGAAUGCGAUGCUGUAAUGACAAUCAGCACUCAUACAAGAACAUGCAUACAAAUGAUUGGUUCUCUAAAGCCAUUGUUAUAAAUGAAAACAUUGAGAAAGUCCAAAUCAUUGUAAAAUUUGAAGUUUUGAUCAGCUGUUUUUCUGUGGCUGAGUAAAUUUGUCUACUUCACUCUUUUAAUUGAAAGAACUGCAUUGUAUGUAGUAAGGAGUUAAAUUGUCACAUAACACUUGUUUUUAUAGCUGAAGACCAGGGGCAUGUAGAUAACCUAGAUGGGCUACAUUCCAUCACACCUGCAAGGUUUCUCCAGUGGAUCACAGGCCAAGGUCACAUCCCACUUCUUCCCUCAGAGAAGAAGGAUUUUGCUUUAACAGUCAAGUUUAACCUUGACUGUAGUGCAGACUUUGGCCAUCAUAGUGUGUCCUACCCUAUUGUGUCAGCAUGUUCCAAUAGUAUUGCAAUACCUGUAAAAUAUAUGAGGCCUUAUGACCAAUUCAAAAAGGUUCUGAUUGAAGCUUUUCAUCUGGGCCAACAGUCUAACAUGGUGUAACUGACCUUCAACUGUUUUUCUAGGUUGAACAACAACCUACGGUUAAAACAUGUUUAU